rnacentral:rRNA from 1 species
CUAAUCCCCAUUCCCCCCCUCCUCCUCGCUCGCUUUCUUCCCUCCUCUGCCGCUCGAAGGCCAUCGCCGUGUUGUCGCCGUGCUCGCAGCCACUAGCCUCCCCGGCGCUCGGGAGGAAGUCGGGGAGCACCGCCGUCCUCUUCUGCACCAUAUGCAAGCUUCAGGUCGAGCCGGAGCGCCUCGAGCCGUCGCCAUCGACCUUCUUCCCCAACCACGGCUGUUGUCGUCCACGUCGUCGAUCCGCUUCCUCUGGUCCUCCCCGAACCACCUCGAGCUCGCCCCGCGCUCACUACCCCGAGACCGAUGCUGCCCCUGUGAUUGACUACGUCAACGACGACCCUUCUUCCUUUUCAGCAGAGCUUCCAGUUGAUGCAACCAGAUGUCGGAGCCCAGGAGCCAGAUGCCACCGCCGAUGCCUACUACUACGUGGAGACCGCUGACGACCAGGAGUAGUUAGGAGGCUCCCAGGCAGGAGGCCUUGCCUUUUCGUAGAUGCUUUUGUGCUGGCAUUCUUAAGGCAAACUUGUCUAACUUAUGUCUGUACUCAGAUAUUGUUGCUUCCGCUGACUCUUGUGUUUUCGAGCUUAUGUAUUCGAGCCCUCGAGACCCCUGGCUUGUAAUAUAAAGCUUGUAUUAUUUUAAUUUGUGUCUAGAGUUGUGUUGUGAUAUCUUUCCGUGAGUCCUUGAUCUUGAUCGUACACAUUUGCGUGUAUGAUUAGUGUACGAUUGAAUCGAGGGCGUCACACUUAUGGGAUAUCC